GCACCACGAGCUUUUUGGAAUGUUAACGUUCAUUACAGAAAGCGUGUGUGUG
rnacentral:pre_miRNA from 1 species